rnacentral:rRNA from 1 species
UACGUAGGGGGCAAGCGUUGUCCGGAUUUAUUGGGCGUAAAGAGCGUGUAGGCGGUCAGGUAGGUCCGUUGUGAAAACUCGAGGCUCAACCUUUGAAAGCCGAUGGAUACUGUGAGGCUAGAGUCCGGAAGAGGCGAGUGGAAUUCCUGGUGUAGCGGUGGAAUGCGCAGAUAUCAGGAGGAACACCGAUGGCGAAGGCAGGUCACUGGGCCGCAACUGACGCUGAGGAGCGAAAGCAUGGGGAGCGAACAGG